CAACGCGCUUUGGAUGCUGGCGUAAUGGCUUUAAUCGACCCGUCUUGAAACACGGACCAAGGAGUCUAACAUACAUGCAAGUGUUUGGGUGAAAAACCCAUGCGCGAAAUGAAAGUGAAAGUUAAGAACCCUCAAGGGUGCAUUGACGCCUGGCCCAGAACAAUUUGUGACGGAGCUACGGUAGAGCAUGCAUGUUGGGACCCGAAAGAUGGUGAACUAUGCCUGAAUAGGGUGAAGCCAGAGGAAACUCUGGUGGAAGCUCGCAGCGAUUCUGACGUGCAAAUCGAUCGUCAAAUUUGGGUAUAGGGGCGAAAGACUAAUCGAACCAUCUAGUAGCUGGUUCCCGCCGAAGUUUCCCUCAGGAUAGCAGACGCUCAUUUAUUCAGAUUUAUGUGGUAAAGCGAAUGAUUAGAGGCCUUGGGGUUGAAACAACCUUAACCUAUUCUCAAACUUUAAAUAUGUAAGAUGAGACGGUUUCUUAAAUGAACCGUUUCAUGAUUGAAGAGCGUCUAGUGGGCCAUUUUUGGUAAGCAGAACUGGCGAUGCGGGAUGAACCGAACGUGAGGUUAAGGUGCCGGAAUCUACGCUCAUCAGACACCACAAAAGGUGUUAGUUCAUCUAG
rnacentral:rRNA from 1 species